GGGGAAUAUUGCACAAUGGAGGAAACUCUGAUGCAGCAACGCCGCGUGAGUGAUGAAGGUCUUCGGAUCGUAAAACUCUGUCUUAUGGGACGAUAAUGACGGUAGCCGAGGAGGAAGCUCCGGCUAACUACGUGCCAGCAGCCGCGGUAAUACGUAGGGAGCGAGCGUUGUCCGGAUUUACUGGGUGUAAAGGGUGCGUAGGCGGCGCCGCAAGUCAGGUGUGAAAACUAUCGGCUUAACUGAUAGACUGCAUUUGAAACUGUGGCGCUUGAGUGGAGCAGAGGCAGGCGGAAUUCCCGGUGUAGCGGUGAAGUGCGUAGAGAUCGGGAGGAACACCAGUGGCGAAAGCGGCCUGCUGGGCUUUAACUGACGCUGAGGCACGAAAGCAUGGGUAGCAAAC
rnacentral:rRNA from 1 species